rnacentral:rRNA from 1 species
UACGGAGGGUGCGAGCGUUGUCCGGAAUCAUUGGGCGUAAAGAGCUCGUAGGCGGCUAUUCAAGUCGAACGUGAAAUCUCGGGGCUCAACUCCGAGCCUGCGUUCGAUACUGGGUAGCUAGAGUCUGGUAGGGGGAUCUGGAAUUCCUGGUGUAGCGGUGGAAUGCGCAGAUAUCAGGAGGAACACCGGUGGCGAAGGCGGGAUCCUGGGCCAGUACUGACGCUGAGGAGCGAAAGCGUGGGGAGCAAACAGG